AUCUUCAGGGCGGGGUGUGAUUCCCCACUGGCGGUAAAGUCCGCGACCUGCGAUAGCAGCCGAACCGGUGCAACUCCGGUACCAACAGUAUAGUCUGGAUGAAAGAAGAG
rnacentral:ncRNA from 1 species